GUCAGAACGGCCGAGCGGUCUAAGGUGCCAGACUCCGAUUCUAGUCUCCAAAUGGAGGCGUGGGUUCAAAUCCCACUUCUGACA